rnacentral:tRNA from 1 species
GGGGCUAUAGCGCAGUCCGGUAGCGCACCUCGUUCGCAUCGAGGGGGUCAGGGGUUCAAAUCCCCUUAGCUCCACCG